UGCACAUCGCUGACGAGUGGCGGACGGGUGAGUAAUGCUUGGGAACUUGCCUUUGCGAGGGGGAUAACAGUUGGAAACGACUGCUAAUACCGCAUAACGUCUACGGACCAAACGGGGCUUAGGCUCCGGCGCAGAGAGAGGCCCAAGUGAGAUUAGCUAGUUGGUGAGGUAAAGGCUCACCAAGGCGACGAUCUCUAGCUGUUCUGAGAGGAAGAUCAGCCACACUGGGACUGAGACACGGCCCAGACUCCUACGGGAGGCAGCAGUGGGGAAUAUUGCACAAUGGGGGAAACCCUGAUGCAGCCAUGCCGCGUGUGUGAAGAAGGCCUUCGGGUUGUAAAGCACUUUCAGUUGUGAGGAAAAGUGAGUAGUUAAUACCUGCUCACCGUGACGUUAGCAACAGAAGAAGCACCGGCUAACUCCGUGCCAGCAGCCGCGGUAAUACGGAGGGUGCGAGCGUUAAUCGGAAUUACUGGGCGUAAAGCGCACGCAGGCGGUUUGUUAAGCUAGAUGUGAAAGCCCCGGGCUCAACCUGGGACGGUCAUUUAGAACUGGCAG
rnacentral:rRNA from 1 species